rnacentral:rRNA from 1 species
UACGUAGGGAGCAAGCGUUGUCCGGAAUCAUUGGGCGUAAAGCGCGCGUAGGUGGCUUCGUAAGUCCGUUGUGAAAGUCAAAAGGCUCAACCUUUGAAAGCCGAUGGAUACUGCGGAGCUAGAGUACGGAAGAGGCGAGUGGAAUUCCUGGUGUAGCGGUGGAAUGCGCAGAUAUCAGGAGGAACACCAAUAGCGAAGGCAGCUCGCUGGGACGUUACUGACACUGAGGCGCGAAAGCGUGGGGAGCGAACAGG